rnacentral:lncRNA from 1 species
UUUGAACAUGAAGGCUGGUGCUAAACAUCUGUCUUUAUACAUGUGCGGAGUCUGACUAUUAGACUAUCAAUAGCAUUAAGAACUUGGUGCUAUUAAAUACAGUCAAUCUUUGAGGAUUAUUAACUAUACAUCACUUCAUUCAAGGGCCGAAAAUCUAAUAGCCUAAUAGCACCAAUUAUUUUUUUGACAGAUAGAUAGCACGUCACCCGCUUCGUUUAUUUCAUUUAGAAAUAAACUUAGCUAGAAAUGUGAAUCAACUAGGAUUCGAACUUAGGUCUCAUGAACCAACCACCAAGUCUUUUGCCACUUGCUCUAGGGACGGUCGGCUAAUAGCACCAAUUAUUUAUACUAUUAAUAGUAUAGUCAAAAUCAAAAGCGUAACCAUUUAUU